rnacentral:lncRNA from 1 species
UUAGGAACUUGUUACUCAACUACAAUUAUUAUUAUAAUGGUGUUUUCGAAAAAUAAAUGUGUGUGUGUGUCCAAGCAAAAGAAAUGGCUUUUGGGUUCGGGGGAAAAAGAGUGUGUAGACGGGAUGGAUGGGUGUUCCUUGUGUGGGAUGCCCCGUUGUUGUGCUCGUACCUUGGUGGUUGAGCAAUGUCGGGAGAUAUCCAUCCGGUCGUAAUUAAGGACCGAGUUGAUGUGUCAUCUUGCCUAAUUCCACUAUCGUGCAACCACUCGACCGUUGUAUGGGCAACGGCUUGGCAUAAAUCCCACUAGCUGGAUGGUUAGUCCUCAGGAGUGCUGGUGAGCAACGGGAACCCACGGAAAAGGAUUAAGAUCUUGGUGACUUGAGUCCCGGUUACGGUCUCCUGAAUGAGCCGUGGACCCCUUGGGUGUUUCCGCGAGAACUAGCCAGUCUUAGCUAAGGUGGGUAAUGGCUUUGUUAGGAUCCGUACCGUCACUACGGUGAUCGUGCUACGGUACCCUACUUGUGGGAAAAGUGUACACCCUCUGCAGAGUUAAAACCUAUCCGGGUAGCCGUGUCCACGGUAUUGGACGAAUUACGGCUUGGUCACAUAACUAGUGUUUGGGCAAGGAUGUCAUGAGUGUGUGUGUGUGUGUGUGUGUGUGUGGAAUUUCAGAAGAGUCCGGCAGUUGUGCCGUGCGCUAUGACGGACGGGGAGUCCGAUGGCGAUAAAAGCUUGGAUCCUUUGUGUAGGAUCAACCCCACUCAGUAUUUCGGGUAUUAAAGGAAACUUUACAAAAACCCUUUUGAAAACAAUCCCCCUGCAUGUGUUAAAAAUUAGCUUUCCCGCAAAAUAAACCCUAGCCUACCCUUGUUAUACUUGUGCAUAAACUUGCUUGUAUCCCCUCCGUGGAUGGGGUUGGACUUGUUGAGUACGUUAGUACUCACCCUUGCUUCAUUACUACAGAGGAAGACCCUGAGUUCGUCGCAGAAGACCUCGAGUAGAGGUUGUGUCCGCACCCGACGCUGCCUGUGGAGUUACCCUGCCCAAGAUGCUGCUGCUGCCGUGUAGUCCCGAGUGCUGUCUUUUGGCAGUCGCUUGGUUAGCCGCCGUUAUUUAUUUACUGUUUAUCGCUGCGUGGCUUUCACGCCCACUCCCUCGGGAGUUGUACGGUAACUGAAUUAUCUGUCGAAUAAAUGUGUUAUCAGCCUCCUGGGACUGAUAUUUGUAUCACAUUUAGUCUCUACUUACAUGGGGACGCUUCAGGUGGUAUCAGAGCCGUCGUUGGCUGUAGGACGCAACCUUAGGACCGGAUUAGCCCGUUUUGACCAAAACAAAAGAAUUACAAAAUUUCUCCCCACCUUUGCUCUAUUGUAAAACUAAUUUGUGCCCCGAAUCUUUUCCAGAUGGCCGAGGAAGGAUGGGUCAACAGCCACUGCCUGGAGGAGCCUGGUUUUCCCAGAUUGUUGUUCGCCUGCAUGGACCGCCUUGGAAUUUAUGAGCGUCCGGAGUACACCAGCAGGGAGUACGAGGACCGCGGGACCCCUCGGUGUGAGAUGAUUAUCUACAUCGGGCGGAGUAGCCGCUAUCCGGACAUCCAGCCUUGGAAUGUGACUGCCACCGGCUUCCGGCACAAGGAUACCUAUCAAGUGGCAGCCCGGAAGGCCCUCUGUUUCCUGUGCCAGAUCUAUGAGAGGCACAUCGGCCGCACUCCGAUGAGGUUCUACCCGCCUGUCAAGAAAAACCGCCCGGUUUGGCUGGCCCGGGUACGGACCUUGGAAGGACGUGGACAGCGCGAGGAUGACCCCACUGUGCUGCACAUGGCUGCCUACCUUCUCACCUUGGAUGAGCUCUACGACGAGCAGGCUGCUAAGUUGAAGCAGCAGACCCGUAGGGCUGAGGACGCAGAAGUUAUGGCGAGGAGGCUCCAGGUGAAGUUAGCCGCCGCCGAAGCCCGAGCCGCGGCCGCCCAAAGCAAUGAGGCCAUUGCCAUUGAGGCUCUCAAGGAGGCUGAGGAUCGGCACUCCAAGGAACUGAAGGAUGCCCACCUCACCAUUCGUGCCAGAAGGAGGAUGGUGGCCAUCGAGGACGACGAGGCCCCGAUCCUUGAAGGAAUUCCCAUUGCCCCAGGGCCCAGUAAGCGGAAAAGCACGGAUGCCACCCCGGCACCACCACCUUCAGAAAGGGACUCCGAGGUAUCGGAUGGAGUGGUUCCCGAGACCCCUCCCACGGGCGGGACUCUGAAGGAUGAGGUGCUGGCCCUUCUCCUUCCGAUAGAAGAUCACUCAGUCCAGGGAGAAGACUCGCCCCGCAAGUAGUAUGCCCAGCCAGAAUUGCCCAAGGGAUGAAGCCGUCAUGGUCCACAGUUUAGAGUUGUACCCCCUCCCGUUGUGUUGUUGUAUCCGGUCGUGUAGUGCGUGUUUUGGCCUUACCCCAGCAGUGUUGUACCCCCGUGGCAAAAUAAAUAAAAUCGCUUGUGUUUGUUGCUUGUUAGUCUGUGUGUUUGUCGGCAGGAGGUGGAUUCUGUCUCUUCGAAAAUACGAAAUAACCACUUUAAAGAUCACUAAAAUCCAAAUCAUACUCUCAUAAAAGUCUCACUCAAUCUGCAGAUGCCGCCCAAGCGUGCCACCAGGACUUCCCCAAGCCAGGCCCAUGCCACCCCCAGUGCAGAGAGGCAGCCAGAAAGGCAAGAACCGCCUCCGGCAGCACUUCCUGAGGAGCAGGAAGUGAGCCAGCCUGAAGGAAGGGGAGAAAGUCAGGUGGGGGCACAGCAGCCACCACCCCCACCAGUUAUUGAUCUGGUUCAAGUAAUGAACAACCAGACCCUUCUACUGGAAGCACUAGCCAACGCCAUUACUCGCCAGAGGCCCCGCGGGCAGAACAUGAAUGAGAAGUUGACGGACUUCCUCCGGACCAAGCCACCCACUUUUGGCGGGUCUGUCAACCCUCUGGACGCAGAUGAUUGGCUGCGUGUCAUCCAGAGGAAGCUGGAGCCAUUUGGUUGUGAGGGCAGGGACAAAGUUCUCUUGGCUGCCCACCAGCUCACCGGAACUGCCCUAGCCCGGUGGGAGAACUACUGCUCUGCCGCCCAGGAUGCCUCUACUAUCACCUGGGAUGAGUUCGUGACGGAAUUCCGUCGCUACCACAUUCCCGCCGCCACCAUGAAGCGCAAGGCGGAUGAGUUCCGUGAACUCCGCCAGGGCAACCGAUCCGUGGAGGAGUACACUUUCCAGUUCAUGGAGCUGGCCCGUUACGCUCCAGAGGAGGUGGACAAGGACGAGAAGAAGCAGGACAUGUUCAAGAAAGGCUUGAACGCAGAGCUAAGGACCCUGCUCACUCCUCAGACCUACCCCGACUUCAACACCUUGAUGAACAUGGCUAUCUUGACUGAGAGGGCCAAGGCAGAGGAGCGGAGGGACAACAAGCGUCGGUUCCUGGAAAACAAGGCACACCAGCAGGACCGCUUCCAGAAGCCAAGAAGCUUCGGUCAUCCCUUGCCCAGAUCCCAAGCUCCCAUGCAUUAUCGGACCCAGUCCCAAACACCUGGCUCACAUCAGACUGCUGCCCCAUUCCGGAGCCAGAACUCCAUCAAGGCCCCACAGAACAGCGCCAGCCAGGUCACCAGCAAUGGUAGGGCAUGCUUCAACUGCAGAGAGCCAGGGCAUUUCAUCGCCAACUGCCCCUAUGCCAACAAGCCAGCAGCAUCAGCCGUGUCCAACUCAGUAGCUGGGCCCAGGACCGCAUUGUCAGGAGCCAACCGUGUGCCAGUCCACAGCAGUGGCAACCCCAGCAACAACAACAGCCUGCAGAUGAGGCCGCCCCAACAGUCAUUUGGACGAGCCCGCGUCAACCACAUCGGCGCGCAGGAGGCUCGCGAAGCUCAGGGCGUGGUACUCGGUGAGUUCCUAGUCAGCUCAGUCUUGGCAACAGUACUUUUUGAUUCUGGAGCAUCACAUUCCUUCAUAUCCUCAAGUUUUGUGGAAGAACAUCAUAUACCUACAGUACUACUAAAGUUACCCUUAUUAACCCGGACUCCUGGGGCCGACAUUCAGUGUCGACUAGGUUGUUCUCGGGUAAGGAUCAAUUUCAGUGGGGUAGAAUUUCUAGCGGAUCUAGUAGUACUUAAGUCUAAGGGGAUAGACGUGAUCCUUGGAAUGGACUAGUUAAGCCUGCAUGACAGUCAUAUAGGGUGUGCUGAUAAGGUAGUGCACCUGACCAAUCGAGAUGGUGUGCAAGUGACCUGUCACACUAAGGGAAGUGGCCCAAACCCCAUGGUGUUCAGCAUGGAGACCAAGACCAUAGAAGAAGUCCCGGUAGUGAGUGAAUACCCAGACAUCUUUCCUGAGGAACUACCUGGAAUGCCCCCUGACAGGGACAUAGAGUUCGUAAUUAACCUCGUCCCCGGGACCUCCCCUAUAGCCAAGAGACCCUAUAGAAUGGCAGCCCCAGAGUUAGCCGAGCUGAAGAAACAAUUGGGAGAGUUGCAACAGAGUGGUUUUAUCAGGCCCAGCUCAUCCCCGUGGGGAGCCCCCGUGCUUUUUGUCAAGAAGAAAGACGGAAGUAUGAGGAUGUGCGUGGAUUAUCGUGCAUUAAAUGAAGUCACCAUUAAGAACAAGUACCCCCUCCCUAGAAUAGAUGACCUGUUUGACCAAUUAAAGGGAGCCAAGUAUUUCUCCAAGAUAGAUCUGAGAUCGGGGUAUCAUCAGCUCAAGAUCAAGGAGAGCGACAUUCCGAAGACCGCCUUUGUCACCCGCUAUGGUCAAUUUGAGUUUACAGUGAUGUCCUUUGGAUUGACCAAUGCACCUGCUUACUUCAUGAACCUCAUGAACAAGGUGUUUAUGGACGAGUUAGAUAAGUUUGUCGUAGUCUUCAUUGACGACAUACUUAUCUAUUCCAAGAGUGUUCAAGAACAUGAACACCACUUACGGGUGGUCUUGGAAAAACUGAGAGCCCACCGACUCUAUGCUAAAUUUAGCAAGUGCGAAUUUUGGCUUGAGAAAGUGGCAUUCCUUGGUCAUAUCUUGACCGCGGAAGGAGUAGCAGUUGACCUUGAGAAGGUGGAGGCCGUCUCCAACUGGCAGCAGCCCACUAAUGUUAGUGAAAUCAGGAGUUUCCUGGGUUUAGCUGGAUAUUAUCGGAGGUUUAUUGAGGGAUUCUCCAAGAUAGCCCGUCCCAUGACAGAGUUGCUCAGAAAGGACAAGAAAUUCACCUGGACCGAGUCAUGUGAGCGGAGUUUCCAGGAGCUGAAGAAAAGAUUGACAACAGCCCCAGUACUGACCUUGCCAGAUAUCCAGCGAGACUUCAUCAUCUACUGCGAUGCAUCUCGGCAAGGAUUAGGCUGUGUCCUCAUGCAGGAUGGGAAGGUUGUGGCAUAUGCUUCCCGACAACUUAAGCCCCAUGAGCAGAACUACCCAACUCAUGACUUAGAAUUUGCAGCCGUAGUGCAUGCCCUCAAGAUCUGGAGACAUUAUCUGAUUGGGAAUAAGUGUGAAAUCUACACCGACCAUAAAAGCCUAAAGUACAUCUUUACCCAACCCGAUCUGAACUUAAGGCAGAGGAGGUGGCUAGAGCUGGUAAAGGACUACAACCUGGAAAUCCAUUACCACCCCGGCAAGGCUAAUGUUGUAGCUGAUGCCCUAAGCAGAAAGUCCUAUGUACAGCCCGGACCCGAGAAUGCCCGACUACGAGAGGAAAUGGCCCGGUUGAAUGUGCAUAUCAUUCCCCAGAAUACUAGCCGUAGGCUAAGUGUCCAGCCCACAUUGGAGGGUAAAAUCCGAGAAGCCCAGGGUUCAGACCAAGAUCUAGUAAAAAUCCGCAAGCAGACCGGAGAAAAUAAAGCCCCGGAUUUCAGGGUAGAUGACAAGGGAACCUUGUGGUAUAAGAAUAGAAUUUGUGUCCCUAAGGACGGAGAAUUCCGGCAGACCAUCAUGGAUGAAGCCCAUAACUCAGCAUACUCCAUUCACCCCGGGUCCACUAAGAUGUACAUGGACCUAAAACAGAAAUACUGGUGGAACGGGAUGAAGGCAGACAUAGCUCAGUUUGUCGCCCGGUGCGAUACCUGCCAAAGAGUCAAGGCCGAGCACCAGAAGCCAGCCGGCUUGCUACAACCCUUGCCUAUCCCGGUGUGGAAGUGGGAUGAGAUCGGCAUGGAUUUUGUAGUAGGCUUGCCCAGAACCCAGAAGGGAAAUGACCCAUAUGGGUAAUAGUGGACCGACUUACCAAGGUUGCUCACUAUCUGCCCGUACGGACCACUUACGGUGGAGAAAAACUGGCUCGACUCUACGUCGACAACGUAGUGAAGCUGCAUGGUGUGCCCAGCCGAAUCGUCUCGGAUAGAGGAACUCAGUUCACCUCUAGGUUUUGGAGGAGCUUACACAAAGCCAUGGGUACCAAACUGGAUUUUAGUUCAGCUUAUCACCCCCAGACCGAUGGCCAAACCGAACGGGUAAAUCAGAUCAUGGAAGAUAUGUUAAGAGCGUGUGUCCUCACCUAUGGAAAGGAUUGGGAACAAAGUCUACCCUAUGCAGAAUUCUCAUACAACAAUAGUUACCAAGCCAGUCUAGGCAUGUCACCAUUUGAGGCCCUUUAUGGUAGAAAGUGUCGGACCCCUUUGAUGUGGUCAGAAGUCGGAGAACGUUCCCUGGUCGGACCAGCUUUUAUCAAGGAAGCAGAAGACCGUGUAGCAGAGAUCCGAGAGAAGUUAAAGGCUGCACAGUCCAGACAGAAGAGCUACUCCGACAAAAGAAGACGAGAAUUGUGCUUUAAUGAGGGAGAUUUUGUCUACCUCAAGGUAUCCCCGAUUCGGGGUACUCGAAGAUUUCAAGUGCAAGGAAAAUUAGCCCCUCGGUAUAUCGGACCAUACCAGGUGUUAAAGAGAAUUGGAGCCGUAGCAUACCGUAUCCAACUGCCCGAGGAAAUGUCGGAUAUACACCCGGUAUUCCAUGUCUCCCAGCUAAGAAAAUGCUUGAGAGUACCGGAGGAACAAGUGCCGGUGGAAACAAUAGAUUUACAGAAGGACCUUCGGUAUCAAGAAGUACCUGUCAAGAUUUUAGAUACUGUCACCAGAAGGACAAGGAACACAGCAGUUCGGAUCUGCAGAGUACAAUGGAGCAGGCAUGGCGAAGAAGAGGCCACAUGGGAACGCGAGGACGCGUUAAAGAAGGAGUUUCCCCAUCUUUUCAGGACUCAGUCGAAUCUCGAGGACGAGAUUCAAUUUAAGUGGGGUAGGUUUGUAACGUCCGCAGAAAUCACUAACUAAAAUCACCCGUUAAAAACUGUCUUUAAAAUCUUUUUACCGCCGAGCUUCCGGAAAUCGGAAACCUCCCCGGCGAUUUCGCCGUCCCGGUACCCAGGCCGACCCCCACCUAUCUUUUUAUCUGUGCCCGCGAAUCUCGUCGCGUGCCGGCGUCAGGCGCCGUGCGCGUGCCCCGACCGCGUGCCGCAAACGCUGCCGGUCUCUUCCUUUUUCCUUCCCUUUUUUUCCCCUUUUCUUUUCUCCUUUUUCUUUCUCCUUCUUCUUUCUUUCUCCCUUUCUUCUUUCUUCUUCCUUCCUCCUUCUCUCUCUCCUCCCCUUUCUUCCUCCUGGCACCCGGCGCCACCAUCCCCUGGCGCCACACCUCCUGGCCGGCCAACACCAUUUACUCCGGCACCCCCAUCCCCUGGCGCCAUACCGCCACGGUUGAAAAUCGUUUUCUCUUUUAUUUAUUUGUGUGUCUGCUUGUGUGUGCCGUAGAUCGUGGAUUGCCCGAGGAGGAGCCCGAGGAGGAGUUUGAUCGCGAGCCCGAGCCCGAGGACCAGUACCGCGAGCCGGAACUCCCGGAAGGCUUUGAAGGCGGCAAGUCCAAUCUCACCCUUUGAUGCAUACUUAAUACCUAGUUUUUCAAACACAACCUAUUGGCCUGUUUUACAAAAUGCAUAUUAUUUCACCGCAAGACAUGGUUGGAUAGCCACCCCUUGAUUGUUAUGAACAUUCCUUGUUGUCCUAUGUUUAUCUCUGAAUACGACUUGCUCUGUUUAGAUGAUAACCACUGCUAGCACGCUUAGGAACUUGUUACUCAACUACAAUUAUUAUUAUAAUGGUGUUUUCGAAAAAUAAAUGUGUGUGUGUGUCCAAGCAAAAGAAAUGGCUUUUGGGUUCGGGGGAAAAAGAGUGUGUAGACGGGAUGGAUGGGUGUUCCUUGUGUGGGAUGCCCCGUUGUUGUGCUCGUACCUUGGUGGUUGAGCAAUGUCGGGAGAUAUCCAUCCGGUCGUAAUUAAGGACCGAGUUGAUGUGUCAUCUUGCCUAAUUCCACUAUCGUGCAACCACUCGACCGUUGUAUGGGCAACGGCUUGGCAUAAAUCCCACUAGCUGGAUGGUUAGUCCUCAGGAGUGCUGGUGAGCAACGGGAACCCA